rnacentral:rRNA from 1 species
GAUCAUGGCUCAGGAUGAACGCUAGCUACAGGCUUAACACAUGCAAGUCGAGGGGCAGCAUGGUCUUAGCUUGCUAAGGCCGAUGGCGACCGGCGCACGGGUGAGUAACACGUAUCCAACCUGCCGUCUACUCUUGGACAGCCUUCUGAAAGGAAGAUUAAUACAAGGUGGCAUCAUGAGUCCGCAUGUUCACAUGAUUAGAGGUAUUCCGGUAGACGAUGGGGA